ensembl:lncRNA
UGUUUUUAUCGUCACUUUAUUGUGCUGAGAAAAUCAGCUCCGGGGCAGACGCGUUCUGCAGCGGAGCGGGGGAUCAAGGCAGGCAGGGCUUUUUUUCCAGCAUCGAGGCCACUCUAGGGAGCCGAGGGAGCAGCUAGGGCCCAGCAGCCCUCGCAAGAGAGGCUGACACGGCGUAGCAGCCCCUAGGGCUGAAACGUGGUGGGACCACUCUCAUGACUGGAGUGCUGCAAUGACUGGCUGUAGGCUCUUCAGAAGGGACAGGCAGCACAGAAAGGGUGGUGGUGUGGCUCUGUAUUUUAAAUAUAGAGAGUGUUUUGAUGUUGUGGAACUCAAGACUGGAAAUGAUAAGUUUGAGUCCCUAUGGAUUAGAAUCAGUGGGAAGGCCAACAAGACAGGCAUCCUGGUGGGGGUCUGUUAUAGACCACCAAAUCAGGAUAGGAGACAGAUGAGAAGUUCUAAUGGCAGCUGGAAGAAGUUGUGAAAUCGCCAGCGCUUGUUCUCAUGGGGGACUUCAACUUCCCAGACAUAUCCUGGAAAUACAAUACAGCUCAGAGGAAGCAGUCUAGGAGGUUUCUGGAGAGCGUGGAAGAUAGCUUCCUGAUGCAGCUGGUUAGUGAGCCUACCAGGGGAGGUGCCCCGCUAGACCUUCUGUUCACAAACAGAGAAGGACUGGUGGGAGAUGUGGUGGUCGGGAGCUGUCUUGGGCAGAGUGACCACGAAAUGGUAGAGUUCUCUAUUCUUGGCAAAGUCAGGAGGGGGUUCAGUAAAACUGCUUUCUUGGACUUCUGGAGGGCAGACUUUGAGCUGUUGAGGACACUGGUUGGCAGAAUCCCCUGGGAGGCAGUUCUGAAGGGCAGAGGAGUCCAGGAAGGCUGGGCACUCUUCAAGAAGGAAAUCUUAAUGGCUCAGGAGCGGUCUGUCCCCAUGUGCCCAAAGACACGGCAUGGAAGAAGACCGGCCUGGCUGAACAGAGAGUUGUGGCUAGAGCUUAGGAAAAAAAAGAGGGUUUAUGACCUUAGGAAAAGAGGGCGGGCCACUCAGGAGGACUAUAAGGAUGUUGCGAGGCUGUGCAGGGACAAAAUUAGAAAAGCCAGAGCUCAUCUGGAGCUCAAUCUGGCUACUGCUGUUAAAGAUAACAAAAAAUGUUUUUACAAAUACAUCAACACAAAAAGGAGGACUAAGGGGAAUCUCUAUCCUUUACUGGAUGCGGGGGGAAACUUAGUGACGAGAGAUGAGGAAAAGGCUGAGGUGCUUAAUGCCUUCUUUGCCUCAGUCUUUAGAGGCAAGACCAGUUGUUCUCUAGAUACCCAGUACCCUGAGCUGGUGGAAGGGGAUGGGGAGCAGGAUGUGGCCCUCACUAUCCGUGAGGAAAUGUUUGGCGACAUGCUACAAUACUUAGAUGUACGCAAGUUGAUGGGGCCGGACGGGAUCCACCCGAGGGUACUGAGAGAACUGGCGGAGGAGCUGGCCAAGCCACUUUCCAUCAUUUAUCAGCAGUCCUGGCUGUCAGGGGAGGUCCCAGUCGAAUGGCAGCUAUCGAAUGUGAUGCACAUCUACAAGGGCUGGAGGGUAGACCCGGGAAACUAUAGGCCUGUUAGUUUGACCUCAGUACCAGGGAAGCUCAUGGAGCAGAUUAUCUUGAGUGUCAUCACGCGGCACUUGCAGGGCAACCAGGCGAUCAGGCCCAGUCAGCAUGGGUUUAUGAAAGGCAGGUCCUGCUUGGCGAACCUGAUCUCCUUCAAUGACAAAGUGACGUGCUUAGUGGAUGAGGGAAAGGCUGUGGAUGUGGUCUACCUUGACAUCAGUAAGGCUUUUGACACCAUUUCCCACAGCAUUCUCCUCAAGAAACUGGCUGCUCGUGGCUUGGACUGGCGUACGCUUCGUUACAUUAAAAACUGGCUGGGUAGCCAGGCCCAAAG